rnacentral:lncRNA from 1 species
AUGGACACAGAUACAUGCAGGCCUCUGAGCCCAGGGCUGAGAGCAGUGCUGCUCACUGAAGUAACACCUCUGAUGUUUUCUCAAGCUGUUUGCUGGGUCGAGGUCUCAGAUGCUGGCCAGUCCUGUUCAAGAUCAAGGUCAGACACCUGGUGGAAGUAAGUGGUCAGGUGGGGUUGAGACCUAGCUGUGCGUGACUUCUAAGAGGCACAGCCCUGCUCCCUGAGAUCCCCCUAAUCCAAGCCCCCAGCCAGGGCCCGGGGCCACGUUGGCAUCUCAUACCUUGCUGGCCAUGGGCUCACUGGGUUGGCACUGCCACCCUCCUCUGGAUGUGAUGCGUCUGUCUGUGAGCUGUGCAGUGUUGAAGACUGUGUUGGUUUAAGAUGCAUCACUUACCUUCAAUUAUUAGACACUCACUGGGCACCUCCUCUGUUCUUUGUGGGGACGAGAGGCUGAUGCACCCAUUCCUGCCUCCAGGCUGCAGGUGACGUUGCAGGGCCUUCAGCCCUCCCUACAAGUGACUCUCUACCGCUCUUCAUGAAAUAUGGUCAUUCCCUGAACUCCCAGUUCUGGAGCUGUGACGUAGGAAGAGGCCUUAUCUUUUUAAAAUCGAUGUGGCUGUUUUUAAUCAAUUUGUGUAUGUUUAACAGGUUUCCCUUUUCUCUGGUUUCCCUGCACUGUGGCUGGAUUCAGUAGUUAGGAAAUUUAUUAUUCACUUCUACCCUAUUUUUUUUUUCACUGAAUGUGAGUAAGGGUAUAGAAAGACGAAAGACGAAAACCAAAAGGGCCCAUGAUCUCACUGGAUUGUCGCAACCAUCACUGGCAUUUUGGUAAAAACUAUUUCCGUAUCUUUCCUGUGCACAGAUACACAAGUGUGAGAGUGAGGGUGUAUUCGUACCUGUGUAUAUAGUUGUUCUUAAUAGGAUCGUGCCCCUGGCCUGGAACUUGUUUUUUUUUCUCAGCUGUACAGUCAACCCUGUGCAUCUGUGGGUUCCACAUCUGUUGAUUCAACCUACUGCGGAUCUAAAAUAUUUUGGAAAAGCAACAAAGGAUAAUAAUGCAAUAAUAAAAAUAAUACAAAUAAAAAACAAUAGAGUGUAACAACUCUGUAUGUAGUAUUUACAUUGUAUUAGGUAUUAUAAGCCAUCUGGAGAUUUAAAGUACAUGGAAGUGCCCAGUUAUAUGUGAAUAUUGCACCAUUUGAUAUCAGGGUCUCAGCAUCUGUAGAUUUUUAUGUGCAAGGGGGUCCUGGAACCCACCCACACAUUGAGUGUUGAGGGGUUAGAAGGCAGCAAUGGACUGGAAUUUUUUUUUUUUUUAAACACCUGCAGGUGUCCAAAAUAAUCCAUGAUCUGCAUCAUCAGGGAACAGAGCAUUUUCACAGGGAUUUAAGUAAAGUCAUGUUUACCCCGCUAGGCACCCACGCACGGACCCCUUUACCCCCAGUGCACUCAAACAAAAUAAAAGAAACAAAACCCAAGUUCACUUUUGAUGAAAGCGGCUCUAAUGGGACAUCUUAGGCCUCAUUCAAGCAGA